UGUCAGGUAGGCAGUGUAUUGCUAGCGGCUGUUAAUAAUUUUAACAGUUGCUAGUUGCACUCCUCUCUGUUGCAUUAAGAAGC
rnacentral:pre_miRNA from 1 species